AAGUCGGUCCCAAGGGUUGGGCUGUUCGCCCAUUAAAGCGGUACGCGAGCUGGGUUCAGAACGUCGUGAGACAGUUCGGUCCCUAUCCGUCGCGGGCGUUGGAAAUUUGAGAGGAGCUGUCCUUAGUACGAGAGGACCGGGAUGGACACACCGCUGGUGUACCAGUUGUUCUGCCAAGAGCAUCGCUGGGUAGCUAUGUGUGGACGACGCUGAAAGCAUCUAAGCGUGAAGCCCCCCUCGAGAUGAGAUUUCCCAUCAUUUUAAAUGAGUAAGACCCCUGAGAGACGAUCAGGUAGAUAGGCUAGAAGUGGAAGUGCCGCGAGGCAUGGAGCGGACUAGUACUAAUCGGUCGAGGACUUAACCAC
rnacentral:rRNA from 1 species